rnacentral:rRNA from 1 species
CCUACGGGUGGCAGCAGUGGGGAAUAUUGCACAAUGGGGGAAACCCUGAUGCAGCGACGCCGCGUGAGCGAUGAAGUAUUUCGGUAUCUAAAGCUCUAUUAGCAGGGAAGAAAAUGACGGUACCUGACUAAGAAGCCCCGGCUAACUACGUGCCAGCAGCCGCGGUAAUACGUAGGGGGCAAGCGUUAUCCGGAUUUACUGGGUGUAAAGGGAGCGUAGACGGGCCUGCAAGCCAGAUGUGAAAGCCCGGGGCUCAACCCCGGUACUGCAGUUGGAACUGUAAGGCUGGAGUGUCGGAGAGGAAGGCGGAAUUCCUAGUGUAGCGGUGAAAUGCGUAGAUAUUAGGAGGAACACCAGUGGCGAAGGCGGCCUGCUGGACGAUGACUGACGUUGAGGCUCGAAAGCGUGGGGAGCAAACAGGAUUAGAUACCCUGGUAGUC